UGUCAAGCUGUGAAAUCUAAGUCAACAGGAGUUAUCUUGCUUGAAUUACAGACUGCAGAUAGGAUAAGAUUAUUCGCAUUACAACAAUGGAAAGAAUUGGAAUAUCAUGGAAAUGAGACGCAACCGCAAAGCUUUGGCCAAAGUCCAAUAACAACAGACCUAUAGACCAGGCGGGACUGUUGUCGUGGCCAGUUGUUACCGGAAGUUUUCUUGUGGUUUAUGUUUAUGCGGUGGCCAAUUAAAGCGCGGUGGCAAUGUCAAUGGCUGGCGAUUGUUUUGGAAAAUCCAAAGGUUUUUCAAAAAGGCAGUUCAUUCACUUUGUGUGCAUUGUCUCUAAAAUACAUAUAAUAUUUAUAUAUUUAUUGGCUAACACUUAUGUCUAGUUGUUAAAUUAAUAUGUUAUUGAUAUUCAUAUAAACGA